ACUUGGUGUGGUUGUUGCUGGCCCUCUCGGGGGCAUGUGCACACCCACCAUCCUCAUCUCUCCACCUGUGCACCUCUUGUAGACCUGGAUUGACUUUCCGAGGCAACUYGGUCGGGAAGAUUGCUGGGCUCUGUGAGCCAGCUUUCUUUGCAUGUCCAGGCCUAUGUUUUUUCAUAUACCCUUAUAGAAUGUAACAGAAUGUAUCAUUGGGCCUUGUGCCUAUAAACCUUAUACAACUUUCAGCAACGGAUCUCUUGGCUCUCGCAUCGAUGAAGAACGCAGCGAAAUGCGAUAAGUAAUGUGAAUUGCAGAAUUCAGUGAAUCAUCGAAUCUUUGAACGCACCUUGCGCUCCUUGGUAUUCCGAGGAGCAUGCCUGUUUGAGUGUCAUUAAAUUCUCAACCUUAUUAACUUUUGUUGAUAAUGGAUUGGAUUGUGGGGGUUUCUUUUGCUGGCUUCUUCACAGAGAUCAGCUCCCCUUAAAUGCAUUAGCUGGUGCCCCGCGUGGACCAUCUAUUGGUGUGAUAAUUAUCUACGCCGUGGAUGUCUGCAAUCAUAUGGGUUUCGCACUGCUUCUAACCGUCUGUUCAUUCGGACAAUACAUGACAAUUUGACCUCAAAUCAGGUAGGACUACCCGCUGAACUUAAGCAUAUCAAUAAGCGGAGGAAAAGAAACUAACAAGGAUUCCCCUAGUAACUGCGAGUGAAGCGGGAAAAGCUCAAAUUUAAAAUCUGGCGGUCUCCGGCCGUCCGAGUUGUAAUCUAGAGAGUGUUAUCCGCGCUGGACCGUGACAAA
rnacentral:rRNA from 1 species